rnacentral:rRNA from 1 species
AGAGGGUGCGAGCGUUGUCCGGAAUCACUGGGCGUAAAGGGCGCGUAGGCGGCCUGAUAAGUCGGGGGUGAAAUCCUGUGGCUCAACCACAGGGCUGCCUCCGAGACUGUCGGGCUCGAGCACAGUAGAGGCAGGUGGAAUUCCCGGUGUAGCGGUGGAAUGCGUAGAGAUCGGGAAGAACAUCGGUGGCGAAGGCGGCCUGCUGGGCUGUUGCUGACGCUGAGGCGCGACAGCGUGGGGAGCAAACAGGAUUAGAUACCCUGGUAGUCCACGCCGUAAACGAUGGGCACUAGGCGUCGGGGGGAGCGACCCUCCCGGUGCCGUCGCUAACGCAGUAAGUGCCCCGCCUGGGGAGUACGGCCGCAAGGCUGAA